rnacentral:tRNA from 1 species
GGUAAAAUGGCUGAGGAACAGGCAAUAAAUUGUAAAUUUAUUUACGAAUAAAAAUUCUUUUACCA